GUCGAGCGGCGGACGGGUGAGUAAUGCCUAGGAAAUUGCCCUGAUGUGGGGGAUAACCAUUGGAAACGAUGGCUAAUACCGCAUGAUGCCUACGGGCCAAAGAGGGGGACCUUCGGGCCUCUCGCGUCAGGAUAUGCCUAGGUGGGAUUAGCUAGUUGGUGAGGUAAGGGCUCACCAAGGCGACGAUCCCUAGCUGGUCUGAGAGGAUGAUCAGCCACACUGGAACUGAGACACGGUCCAGACUCCUACGGGAGGCAGCAGUGGGGAAUAUUGCACAAUGGGCGCAAGCCUGAUGCAGCCAUGCCGCGUGUGUGAAGAAGGCCUUCGGGUUGUAAAGCACUUUCAGUCGUGAGGAAGGUAGUGUAGUUAAUAGCUGCAUUAUUUGACGUUAGCGACAGAAGAAGCACCGGCUAACUCCGUGCCAGCAGCCGCGGUAAUACGGAGGGUGCGAGCGUUAAUCGGAAUUACUGGGCGUAAAGCGCAUGCAGGUGGUUUGUUAAGUCAGAUGUGAAAGCCCGGGGCUCAACCUCGGAAUAGCAUUUGAAACUGGCAGACUAGAGUACUGUAGAGGGGGGGUAGAAUUUCAGGUGUAGCGGUGAAAUGCGUAGAGAUCUGAAGGAAUACCGGUGGCGAAAGGCGGCCCCCUGGACAGAUACUGACACUCAGAUGCGAAAGCGUGGGGAGCAAACAGGAUUAGAUACCCUGGUAGUCCACGCCGUAAACGAUGUCUACUUGGAGGUUGUGGCCUUGAGCCGUGGCUUUCGGAGCUAACGCGUUAAGUAGACCGCCUGGGGAGUACGGUCGCAAGAUUAAAACUCAAAUGAAUUGACGGGGGCCCGCACAAGCGGUGGAGCAUGUGGUUUAAUUCGAUGCAACGCGAAGAACCUUACCUACUCUUGACAUCCAGAGAACUUUCCAGAGAUGGAUUGGUGCCUUCGGGAACUCUGAGACAGGUGCUGCAUGGCUGUCGUCAGCUCGUGUUGUGAAAUGUUGGGUUAAGUCCCGCAACGAGCGCAACCCUUAUCCUUGUUUGCCAGCGAGUAAUGUCGGGAACUCCAGGGAGACUGCCGGUGAUAAACCGGAGGAAGGUGGGGACGACGUCAAGUCAUCAUGGCCCUUACGAGUAGGGCUACACACGUGCUACAAUGGCGCAUACAGAGGGCGGCCAACUUGCGAAAGUGAGCGAAUCCCAAAAAGUGCGUCGUAGUCCGGAUUGGAGUCUGCAACUCGACUCCAUGAAGUCGGAAUCGCUAGUAAUCGUGGAUCAGAAUGCCACGGUGAAUACGUUCCCGGGCCUUGUACACACCGCCCGUCACACCAUGGGAGUGGGCUGCAAAAGAAGUAGGUAGUUUAACCUUCGGGGGGACGCUUAC
rnacentral:rRNA from 1 species